GUAGUCCNCACCGUAAACGAUGGAUACUAGGAGUUGGCAAAAAUAUUGUCGGUUCCGCAGUUAACGCAUUAAGUAUCCCACCUGGGGAGUACGACCGCAAGGUUAAAACUCAAAGGAAUUGACGGGGGCCCGCACAAGCAGUGGAGUAUGUGGUUUAAUUCGAAGCAACGCGAAGAACCUUACCAGGGCUUGACAUAUACAGGAAUAUAUAAGAGAUUAUAUAGCUCUACGGAGUCUGUAUACAGGUGGUGCAUGGUUGUCGUCAGCUCGUGUCGUGAGAUGUUGGGUUAAGUCCCGUAACGAGCGCAACCCCUAUGGCUAGUUGCUAACAUUAAGUUGAGGACUCUAGCAAGACUGCCGUUGUUAAAACGGAGGAAGGUGGGGACGACGUCAAAUCAUCAUGCCCUUUAUGUCCUGGGCUACACACGUACUACAAUGGGUAAGACAGAGGGAAGCGAAAGUGCGAACUGGAGCAAAACCCUAAACUUAUUCUCAGUUCGGAUUGGAGUCUGAAAUUCGGCUCCAUGAAGCUGGAAUUGCUAGUAAUGGCAGGUCAGCAUACUGCCGUGAAUACGUUCCCGGGCCUUGUACACACCGCCCGUCACACCAUGAGAGUNGGGAAUACCCGAAGC
rnacentral:rRNA from 1 species